GACGAACGCUGGCGGCGUGCCUAACACAUGCAAGUCGAGCGGAACGGCCCUGCGUUUGUGGGUUGGUCGAGUGGCGAACGGGUGAGUAACACGUGAGUAACCUGCCCUUGACUUUGGGGUAACUUCAGGAAACUGGGGCUCAUACCGGAUAGGAUCUUCUGCUGCAUGGUGGUGGUUGGAAAGUUUCGGCGGUUGGGGAUGGACUCGCGGGUUAUCAGCUUCCUGGGGUGGUAGUUGAUUUCCAAGGUUUUGACGGGUAGCCGGCCUGCGAGGGGUACCGGCCACAUUGGGACUGAGAUACGGCCCAGACUCCUACGGGAGGCAGCAGGGGGGAAUAUUGCACAAUGGGCGGGAGCCUGAUGCAGAAACGCCGCGUGCGGGAUGACGGCCUUCGGGUGGUAAACAGCUUUCGCAUGUGCCGAAGCGUGAGUGACGGUAAUGGGUAAAGAAGCACCGGCUAACUACGUG
rnacentral:rRNA from 1 species